rnacentral:rRNA from 1 species
GUGGGGAAUAUUGCGCAAUGGGGGCAACCCUGACGCAGCCAUGCCGCGUGUGUGAAGAAGGCCUUAGGGUUGUAAAGCACUUUCAAUUGGGAAGAAAAGCUGCAGGUUAAUAGCCUGUAGCCCUGACAUUACCAUUAGAAGAAGCACCGGCUAACUCCGUGCCAGCAGCCGCGGUAAUACGGGGGGUGCGAGCGUUAAUCGGAAUUACUGGGCGUAAAGCGCGCGUAGGCGGUUUGUUAAGUCAGCUGUGAAAGCCCUGGGCUCAACCUGGGAACUGCAGUUGAUACUGGCCGACUAGAGUACGAGAGAGGGAGGUAGAAUUCCAUGUGUAGCGGUGAAAUGCGUAGAUAUAUGGAGGAAUACCAGUGGCGAAGGCGGCCUCCUGGCUCGAUACUGACGCUGAGGUGCGAAAGCGUGGGGAUCAAACAGG